rnacentral:rRNA from 1 species
GUGGAGCGACGAACCGGGGCUUGCCCCGGGGCAGAGCCGCGAACGGGUGAGUAACACGUGGGUUACCUGCCCUGAUGACCGGGACAACCCGUCGAAAGACGGGCUAAUACCGGAUGUGCCCGCAAGGGGAAAGGAGGCGUAAGCUUCCGCAUCGGGAUGGGCCCGCGGAGCAUUAGCUUGUUGGUGAGGUAAAAGCUCACCAAGGCUUCGAUGCUUAGCUGGUCUGAGAGGACGAUCAGCCACACUGGGACUGAGACACGGCCCAGACUCCUACGGGAGGCAGCAGUGGGGAAUCUUGCGCAAUGCACGAAAGUGUGACGCAGCAACGCCGCGUGCGGGAAGACGGCCUUCGGGUUGUAAACCGCUUUCAGUUGGGACGAAGGUUCUGCGGUUAAUACCCGUACGGACUGACAGUACCUUCAGAAGAAGCCCCGGCUAACUACGUGCCAGCAGCCGCG